rnacentral:rRNA from 1 species
GCGAGAAAGUAUCUUCGGAUAUGAGCAGAGCGGCGGACGGGUGAGUAACGCGUAGGAAUCUACCUAGUAGAAGGGGAUAGCCCGGGGAAACCCGGAUUAAUACCGUAUACCUCCUUCGGGAGAAAGAAGGCCUCUCUUUGAAGCUUUCGCUACUAGAUGAGCCUGCGUAAGAUUAGCUUGUUGGUGAGGUAAAGGCUCACCAAGGCUACGAUCUUUAGCUGGUCUGAGAGGACGAUCAGCCACAUUGGGACUGAGACACGGCCCAGACUCCUACGGGAGGCAGCAGUGGGGAAUAUCGGACAAUGGGCGCAAGCCUGAUCCAGCCAUACCGCGUGUGUGAAGAAGGCCUUCGGGUUGUAAAGCACUUUAAGCAGGGAGAAAAAGUUAUAAGUUAAUACCUUAUAACCCUGAUGUUACCUGCAGAAUAAGCACCGGCUAAUUCCGUGCCAGCAGCCGCGGUAAUACGGAAGGUGCAAGCGUUAAUCGGAAUUACUGGGCGUAAAGCGCGCGUAGGUGGUUUGUUAAGUUGGAUGUGAAAGCCCUGGGCUCAACCUAGGAACUGCAUCCAAAACUAACUCACUAGAGUACGAUAGAGGGAGGUAGAAUUCAUAGUGUAGCGGUGGAAUGCGUAGAUAUUAUGAAGAAUACCAGUGGCGAGGGCGGCCUCCUGGAUCUGUACUGACCCUGAGGUGCGAAAGCGUGGGUAGCGAACAGGAUUAGAUACCCUGGUAGUCCACGCCGUAAACGAUGACAACUAGCUGUUGGGAGACUAUGUCUUUCAGUGGCGCAGCUAACGCUUUAAGUUGUCCGCCUGGGGAGUACGGCGCAAGGCUAAAACUCAAAUGAAU